UAGCCAACUGAUGAUACUCCACUUCAGGUCCGUGUUUCUGAAUCCUGAUCAUAUGGAAGUUCUGAGCAA